rnacentral:rRNA from 1 species
AUUGAACGCUGGCGGCAGGCCUAACACAUGCAAGUCGAACGAGUGGCGGACGGGUGAAUAAUGUCUGGGAAACUGCCUGAUGGAGGGGGAUAACUACUGGAAACGGUAGCUAAUCCCGAAUACCCUCAGAUGUGCCCAGAUGGGAUUAGCUUGUUGGUGGGGUAACGGCUCCCAAAGGCGACGAUCCCUAGCUGGUCUGAGAGGAUGACCAGCCACACUGGAACUGAGACACGGUCCAGACUCAUACGGGAGGCAGCAGUGGGGAAUAUUGCACAAUGGGCGCAAGCCUGAUGCAGGCAUGGCGCGUGUAUGAAGAAGGCCUUCGGGUUGUAAAGUACGUUCAGCGGGGAGGCGUUACCCGCAGAAGAAGCACCGGCUAACUCCGUGCCAGCAGCCGCGGUAAUUC